AUUGAACGCCGGCGGCAUGCUUUACACAUGCAAGUCGAACGGCAGCGCGGGCUUCGGCCUGGCGGCGAGUGGCGAACGGGUGAGUAAUACAUCGGAACGUGCCCAGUAGUGGGGGAUAGCUCGGCGAAAGCCGGAUUAAUACCGCAUACGACCUGAGGGUGAAAGCGGGGGAUCUUCGGACCUCGCGCUAUUGGAGCGGCCGAUGGCAGAUUAGCUAGUUGGUGGGGUAAAGGCCUACCAAGGCGACGAUCUGUAGCUGGUCUGAGAGGACGACCAGCCACACUGGGACUGAGACACGGCCCAGACUCCUACGGGAGGCAGCAGUGGGGAAUUUUGGACAAUGGGCGAAAGCCUGAUCCAGCAAUGCCGCGUGUGUGAUGAAGGCCUUCGGGUUGUAAAGCACUUUUGGCGGGAACGAAAAGGACUGUGCCAAUACCACGGUUCGAUGACGGUACCCGCAGAAUGAGCACCGGCUAACUACGU
rnacentral:rRNA from 1 species